GAGGAUACAAGCGAGGAUGUUUUGAAGUAUAUCUGCCUCCAUGGAGGAGAGAAGGAGAAGUGAAAUGAAAAAUGGUGGCAGAGUCUGGAAUCAUCCACACGAGCAGAGGCAGACGGAUCUCCUGCAGGCAUUCGAGGUGACAGCCAGUCUCUAAUAACCAGCUAAGACCUGCAGGACGAGCACAGGAUGAUCUGUUCCGCCGCGCUUUGUCACACCUCCUCACUCGCAUUGCAAGAUGCCGCAAGGAUGACCGGCCAAAGUUACUCAGACGUCACAAUGAAUAACAAAAACCAUCAAAACUCCAUCAAAACAAAGUGCUUGCAUGGCUCCUUUCCAGACCUGGCUCUGCUCCAUUUUCAUUUUUAGUGGCGUUUCCUAAUUAGAUGAGAAGCAUGGUUUAAUAUGGAUGUCCUCAUUGUAUUAGAAGGAAAACAGAAACACAAAAAUAAAAAAAAUGGCAAAAUAGCCUGCAAUGCAGCACAAAAAAAGAAAAAAGUUUGCAUCUGUCUCUUCCUCUUUUCCAGGCAUUCGUAGAUGCAACCAAAAAUCAAUGCACGAAAAGCACUUCAUUCCUGCUAAGUUUCAACCUUCGCUUCCAGUGUAAUUAAAAGUGGCUUUGACGGACUUUCCAAUCCCAAUUUUCCCCGUCAGCUUGAGGAAAAGGGCUUCUCUUGGGAUUGUUAUGGAAUCCCUUAAGCAGGGCUCAGGCUGUCUAAACAGAAGGUUGAUUUACCCACAAUUAAACAGUUACGUAAGAAAAAUGUUUGCUGUGAAUGAGUGCAAUGCAGCUGCAAAAAAGAAAACACAAACAUAGGGGAUGCAAGAGGUAGGAUUUUAAUUGUUGUAAAAUCCCAACUUGAUUUGCCAAAGGAAACAGAAAGUAAAGCACAAUCUGCUUUUUCUUGCCAAUAGGUGAAUGCAAGUAAACAUCUAAAGGGCAAUUUAUUUCAGUAAAUAAUUUUUUUUAAAGUGUAAAAUCAACAGUUCUGUUUUCCAGGUAAUAUAAAUAGGAUGACUUGAUCCAUAAAAAAUUCUUCCAAAGCAGAAAGGUUAUGUUGUGGCCUACGUAGUUAUGGAUAAGACUUGUAACUUGAGAGCUGUCCAGCAGACAGAGACCAACUGGGGAAAACUGCAAAAGGUCUUUGCAACAAAUGACAGCAACCAAAAGUUUAGUGGAAGGAAAAAAGGGUGAAGACGCAAGUCAGAUAAAAUCCAAUUUUUAUGAAUUCCAAAGUCAGCACAACAGACAACCAGCAAAUAUUGAAGAACGCUUCCUUCUACCGACAACCUUUCUGGAUUUAAUUAUUUCAUUCUUCAGCUGUACUUGACACAGAGCCACACUACGAGAAGUUCCAAUCCCUGAUUUAAUGACUAUGAUAUCACUGUGCUGGA